CCCGAGGAGGAUAUAUAGACGCAAUCAAAGAAAUUAAAACUGAGCCACAGCUCACAGCUGGUGUCUCCCGACUGAGUCUUGGUUUCUGGGGCCAGGAAGUCAAGAGUCUUAAUGUUUCCUGUCCUGGAUGCUCUGGGAAGCAUCACCCCCUUCCUGCCACCUCGACCUCCGGGCUUCCGGUCCCCAGAGCUGUGUGACAAUAUUGGGAAGGCUCCCGUUGGUGGCACUUGGUCACAGCAGACCUAGGCCACAAUGCAGCAUCACUGCCUCUCAGUGUCCCUGUUGGCUCCCCUGCAAAGGGGGUCGGGGCAACGUCUGCACUUCACUCGAAUCCAACGGACAGAGCACUUCACACAAUGCCGAGCUCUUUGUCUGGAGAUGGGUGCAGAAAGGAAACAGCUCAUCAGGACUGUCCCCCUUUGCCCCCCACCCACCCAUCCAUCCAUCUUGCUUUCGGGCUAAGCUUCCACCUGGCGGUUGGAGUCAGCCAAUGGGAGGAUACCAACUCCAUCCAGUCCAGCCAGAAGCCUCCUUCUGCUCCUUCCUAGGUCCCUGGGCCAGCAGCUUGGUAACUGCUUCCUAUCUCCUGGUGCUGGGCAGGAGGUGGAUUCUCCCCCAACUCCAUCUCUUUCCUGGGGGCUUGGAAUUCACCAGAAACCGGAAAUGGGAUGACUUAACAAGCCAGCACCUCUGGUGGCGGGGAGCCGGAGGGGGCGGGAAAUGGGUCCAUUGCAAUCUGCCAGGAUCAAGGCCCCCCACCACCGCUAGCACCAGUCCUGGCCCACUGCAACUAGCACAAGGAUGUCCUCCACGGGUGCUCACGCCUGCCAGGGCCCGUGUGUCACCCCCCUCCCCCCUCCCCCCAUCCCAGCUGUGUGGAUCCUGAAGGCAGAGAGAGAAGUGAGGCUGAUCCCGGCCCCGGGAUGGUGUCUCUGUGAUUCCUGACAGUCUGCGGCCAGAGCAACCUCUACCUGGUCUGGGAGCAGAGGAACAGAGGAGGCAGAGGUUUGCCUGUGUGAGAAGUGACAGCAGUGACGCCAUGGAAGGGCCGACUUCCUUGGACUCUUUGUCCCAGCCUUCCGAGCAGCUCCAUCACGGGGCCCAGGAAAAUGGAGCUGAAAUUGGAUUCGUGACCCGGUGUUGAGCCGACACCCCAGGGUUCUCUUGAUUAGACCCGUCACCCCAGGUCAGAGUGAGGAGACCCACGUCUCCAUGGACACGUGGCUCGGCCCCUCCGCUGGCGGGCUUCUUACCACCCCUCUAGAAAGCCCUUUGACAGAUGGGAGCGUUGCCUCCUCCUUCUUCGGAAUUUUCCCUACUCUGUGGCUCACCGCCUCGGCGCCCAGCUCUGAGCCGGCCCUCCAGGCUUCCAGGAUUGAAAUCAAGUAAUUCCAGGGGCCAGGCGGUUGGCAGCUCCGGGGAGCACUGG